UCAUUCUUGCUUUUUUUGCGUUUUAAAGUAAACUGAGAUUUCUUGGUCACCUUUAAACGAGCAGUAAGCGUAAGUGGAACAAAUCCAAGACUACUCUCAAUUUCUCUUUUCCUUUGUACAACUUCUCUUCCAAGAAUUUGGUUGAAAUGUGUAGUUAAAUGUCUACGAAGAAGAGUUUUUCCUGGAGAAAUACUAAGUAAUGUGGCCAGUAAUUCUGAAGUAAAUCUGCCUUCAUACAUCAUUAAACCUCCAUGUACUCCAGAUCCUCUCAUAUUUGGUGCAUAUUCUGCUAAAUCAACUACCCUAAGCCAUUCCAUUACUCGAUGAUUUGUCCACAGAUGAACAUUACCACCCUCUGCUCCAUUACCAUUUGUAGAUCUUCUUUCAAGGUUAUCAAAUUCAAAAUUUAGUUCUCGUAAAAUCUAUAAAAUUAGAUAUAUUUUUAUUUCAGUAUAUCUAUAAAAUUAGAUAUAUUUUCUUUUUGUUAUUAAAUUUGAUAUCUAUCUGUUAUAUCCCGCGACCUAACCAGAUGCUCUCAUCCAUCCUUCGGUCGGGAUGUCCAGCAACUGUUUAAACAUAUUUGCUCGGACCCGCAAUAAUCCUAAGGAACCGUUACAAGAUUUAACAUUUUUUCUUUACUCUCGAGGCCCUUAAUUAUCAUAAU
rnacentral:misc_RNA from 1 species